UACGUAGGUGGCAAGCGUUGUCCGGAUUUAUUGGGUUUAAAGGGUGCGUAGGCGGUUCUAUAAGUCAGUGGUGAAAUCCGGCAGCUCAACUGUCGAUGUGCCAUUGAUACUGCGGAACUUGAGUACAGACGAGGUAGGCGGAAUUGACGGUGUAGCGGUGAAAUGCGUAGAUAUCGAGAGGAACACCAGUGGCGAAGGCGAGUCCCUGGACAGGUCCUGACGCUGAGGCACGAAAGCCUAGGGGAGCAAACAGG
rnacentral:rRNA from 1 species